AGAGAGAGACAUGCGCGCAUAUCAAUAAGCGGAGGAAAAGAAACUAACUAGGAUUCCCUCAGUAACGGCGAGUGAAGCGGGAAGAGCUCAAAUUUGAAAUCUUCAAGGUUCUACCUUGACGAAUUGUAGUUUAAAGAAGUGUUUUCUGUUGGAGUUUUGGUAAAAAGUUCUUUGGAAUAGGACAUCAUAGAGGGUGAGAAUCCCGUAUUUGACCAUUAUUUCCAGCUUUGUGAUACACUUUCAAAGAGUCGGAUUGUUUGGGAGUGCAGUCCAAAAUGGGUGGUAAAUUUCAUCUAAAGCUAAAUACUGGCGAGAGACCGAUAGCGAACAAGUACCGUGAGGGAAAGAUGAAAAGAACUUUGAAAAGAGAGUUAAACAGUACGUGAAAUUGUCAAAAGGGAAGCGUUUGACACCAGUGUUGUUUUCUCGAAAAUCAAUUAAAAAAGGCAGGAUUUUGUGUUGUAUUGACUUUAUCAGCUUUCUGCACUCUUUUCUUGUCUUUUUUAAUGCACUUUUCGUUUAACAAGUCAACAUCAAUUUCUUUUGUUGUAAAAGGGUCAUUGGAAGGUGGCUUUCUUUUCGGAGAAAGUGUUUAUAGCCUCUUGCCUCUGCAGUCGGAGAGAUUGAGGUCUGCAGCGUAGAUCCUUCGGGGUUAAAUAGCAUUUGUGCUAAGUUAUAGCCUUUUCAUAGACAACUUGUUGACUAUGAUCUGUCAUGUAGCUUACUCGCUUAUGCUAUUUUACCUACGCUUAGGAUGUUGAUGUGAUACUGCGAGCA
rnacentral:rRNA from 1 species